AUCUUAUUCAUGGGUAUUAUGAUUAUUUUAUUGUGCAUAAGAAGAU
rnacentral:sRNA from 1 species